GAUGAACGCUGGCGGCGUGCCUAAUACAUGCAAGUCGAGCGAACGGACGAGAAGCUUGCUUCUCUGAUGUUAGCGGCGGACGGGUGAGUAACACGUGGAUAACCUACCUAUAAGACUGGGAUAACUUCGGGAAACCGGAGCUAAUACCGGAUGAUAUUUUGAACCGCAUGGUUCAAAAGUGAAAGACGGUCUUGCUGUCACCUAUAGAUGGAUCCGCGCUGCAUUAGCUAGUUGGUAAGGUAACGGCUUACCAAGGCAACGAUGCAUAGCCGACCUGAGAGGGUGAUCGGCCACCCUGGAACUGAGACACGGUCCAGACUCCUACGGGAGGCAGCAGUAGGGAAUCUUCCGCAAUGGGCGAAAGCCUGACGGAGCAACGCCGCGUGAGUGAUGAAGGUCUUCGGAUCGUAAAACUCUGUUAUUAGGGAAGAACAUAUGUGUAAGUACCUGUACACAUCUUGACGGUACCUAAUCAGAAAGCCACGGCUAACUACGUG
rnacentral:rRNA from 1 species